rnacentral:misc_RNA from 1 species
ACCAAAUCUUGUUAAUGGCGGAGAGAGGCGAAGUUAAAGUGAUCACCCUAGGAGGCAAGGGUUCGUCUCUCUCGUCCUCCUCCGUCUACGCCGUCGCCACCGGCAAAGCUCAGUUACGUAAUGACUCAUCGGCGCUCGAUAGGUUGCUUUCUGAACAAAACUUUGCGACGCCUCUUAAACCAUUCCAAAUCCCCUUGCCCAAAAUCUUAACACCUCUAGAAAUUCGUGCCUCUCUCACCCUUCUCCUCAAUAAGCUCCUCCUCCACUCUAAUUCGGCCAAUAUCCGUACCCUUCUUCCUAAUCUCAUUUC